rnacentral:rRNA from 1 species
GACGAACGCUGGCGGCAUGCCUAAUACAUGCAAGUCGAGCGGACGCAUCGAAAGCUUUCUUUUGAUUCGUUAGCGGCGGACGGGUGAGUAACACGUAGGCAACCUGCUCUGUAGACGGGGAUAACACCGAGAAAUCGGUGCUACUACCGGAUCACACGAAAUGUCGCAUGACGUUUCGUUGAAAGACGGCGCAAGCUGUCGCUACAGGCUGUGCCCGCGGAGCAUUAGCUAGUUGGUGAGGUAAAGGCCCGCCAAGGCGCGGAUCUGUACUCGGUCUGAGAGGAUGAUCAGCCAAACUGGAACUGAGACAAGGGCCAGAACCCUAAGGGAGGCAGCAGUGGGGAAUAUUGGAGAAUGGGCGGAAGCUUGAUCCAGCCAUACCGGGUGGGGGAAGAAGGCCUUCGGGUUGGAAAGCCCUUUUGUUGGGAAAGAAAAGAAGCAGGUUAAUACCCCGCUGUUCUGACGGUACCCAAAGAAUAAGCCCCGGCUAACUUCGUG